CAGCCGCCACGGUAAUACGGAGGGCGCGAGCGUUACCCGGAUUUACUGGGCGUAAAGGGCGUGUAGGCGGCCUGGGGCGUCCCAUGUGAAAGGCCACGGCUCAACCGUGGAGGAGCGUGAGAUACGCUCAGGCUAGAGGGUGGGAGAGGGUGGUGGAAUUCCCGGAGUAGCGGUGAAAUGCGCAGAUACCGGGAGGAACGCCGAUGGCGAAGGCAGCCACCUGGUCCACUUCUGACGCUGAGGCGCGAAAGCGUGGGGAGCAAACCGGAUUAGAUACCCGCGUAGUCCCUGUCUCUUAUAC
rnacentral:rRNA from 1 species